rnacentral:rRNA from 1 species
GUCCACGCCUAACGAUGUCAACUGGUUGUUGGGUCUUCACUGACUCAGUAACGAAGCUAACGCGUGAAGUUGACCGCCUGGGGAGUACGGCCGCAAGGUUGAACUCAAGGAAUUGACGGGGACCCGCACAAGCGGUGGAUGAUGUGGUUUAAUUCGAUGCAACGCGAAACCUUAACCCACCUUUGACAUGUACGGAAUUUGCCAGAGAUGGCUUAGUGCUCGAAAGAGACCGUAACACAGGUGCUGCAUGGCUGUCGU